CGCCAAUUUUCGCUUCAGUGCUAGACCAUCCAAAGUGUCUAUCACCGGGUGAAAAUUCGCAUG
rnacentral:pre_miRNA from 1 species